GAACUUCAGUUGGUAGAGCAUGAGGCUCUUAAUCUCAGGGUGAUGAGUUCAAGCCCCAUGUUGGACG